AGAACGAACGCUGGCGGCAGGCCUCAAACAUGCAAGUCUAGGGGGUGUAGCAAUACAUCACCGGCGGACGGGUGCGUAACACGUGGGAAUAUACCUUUCGGUACGGAACAACUGCGGGAAACUGCAGCUAAUACCGUAUACGUCCUUACGGAGAAAGAUUUAUCGCCGAAGGAUUAGCCCGCGUUCGAUUAGCUAGUUGGUGAGGUAAUGGCUCACCAAGGCGACGAUCGAUAGCUGUUCUGAGAGGAAGAUCAGCCACACUGGGACUGAGACACGGCCCAGACUCCUACGGGAGGCAGCAGUUGGGAAUCUUGGACAAUGGGGGAAACCCUGAUCCAGCCAUGCCGCGUGAGUGAUGAAGGCCUUCGGGUUGUAAAACUCUUUCGACGGGGACGAUAAUGACGGUACCCGUAGAAGAAGCUCCGGCUAACUUCGUGCCAGCAGCCGC
rnacentral:rRNA from 1 species